rnacentral:rRNA from 1 species
CCUACGGGUGGCAGCAGUGAGGAAUAUUGGUCAAUGGACGAGAGUCUGAACCAGCCAAGUAGCGUGAAGGAUGACUGCGCUAUGGAUUGUAAACUUCUUUUAUAUGGGAAUAAAAUGUUCCACGUGUGGGAGUUUGUAUGUACCAUAUGAAUAAGCAUCGGCUAACUCCGUGCCAGCAGCCGCGGUAAUACGGAGGAUCCGAGCGUUAUCCGGAUUUAUUGGGUUUAAAGGGAGCGUAGGUGGGUUGUUAAGUCAGUGGUGAAAGUUUGCGGCUCAACCGUCAAAGUGCAGUUGAAACUGGCAGUCUUGAGUAGAGUAGAGGUGGGCGGAAUGCGUGGUGUAGCGGUGAAAUGCUUAGAUAUCACGCAGAACUCCGAUUGCGAAGGCAGCUCACUGGACGGGAACUGACACUGAGGCUCGAAAGUGUGGGUAUCAAACAGGAUUAGAUACCCCAGUAGUC